GUGCUCAUUUUGGCAGCACAUACAUUAAAAUUAGAACGAUACAGAGAUUAUUAGCCUGGCCCCGGGCAAGAAUGACAUGCAAAUUUGUAAAGCGUUCCAUGUAUGU